rnacentral:lncRNA from 1 species
ACAAAAGGCUAUUUGAUUUCACACACCAUACCUAACCAAUCUGCUAUUUAUGCAUAUCACAGUGCUGUUCCAAAAUAAACAAACUGUUCCUCACCUGUUGUUGUUUUCCCUAUAUGAUUUUCAAACAAUCUAAACAAGUUUGCUGGUGGAUCUCAUUCUGGUGGUAUUUGUUCUCUUUUAAAAGAAUUGAAAAAAUAAAUCUGGUCAGACAAC